AGUGCUCAUUCACUUUUGCGUACUUGUGUAGUUUUUUUGUGCUCUUGUAAUCACGUCUUUGUUUUAUUUCUAGGUUGGGAAUGUGAUUAAAAAUCCAGAAAUUGCUGCUCUUGUCCCAACACUUCUAAUGGGCCUUACAGACCCCAAUGACUACACGAAGCAUUCCCUUGAUAUUCUUCUCCAAACAACAUUUAUCAAUUCGAUUGAUGCUCCUUCACUCGCACUGUUGGUACCAAUAGUUCAUAGAGGGCUAAGAGAGAGGAGUGCUGAAAC